rnacentral:rRNA from 1 species
GCAGCCUGAUGCAGCACGCCGCGUGAGGGACGACGGCCUUCGGGUUGUAAACCUCUUUUAGCAGGGAAGAAGCGAAAGUGACGGUACCUGCAGAAAAAGCGCCGGCUAACUACGUGCCAGCAGCCGCGGUAAUACGUAGGGCGCAAGCGUUAUCCGGAAUUAUUGGGCGUAAAGAGCUCGUAGGCGGUUUGUCGCGUCUGCUGUGAAAUCCGGAGGCUCAACCUCCGGCCUGCAGUGGGUACGGGCAGACUAGAGUGCGGUAGGGGAGAUUGGAAUUCCUGGUGUAGCGGUGGAAUGCGCAGAUAUCAGGAGGAACACCGAUGGCGAAGGCAGAUCUCUGGGCCGUAACUGACGCUGAGGAGCGAAAGGGUGGGGAGCAAACAGGCUUAGAUACCCUGGUAGUCCACCCCGUAAACGUUGGGAACUAGUUGUGGGGUCCAUUCCACGGAUUCCGUGACGCAGCUAACGCAUUAAGUUCCCCGCCUGGGGAGUACGGCCGCAA